rnacentral:rRNA from 1 species
GAAUUCGCCCUUAGAGUUUGAUCCUGGCUCAGGAUGAACGCUGGCGGCGUGCUUAACACAUGCAAGUCGAACGAAGCUUGAUUACGGAGCUCUACGGAGUGAAGUAAGAAAUGACUUAGUGGCGGACGGGUGAGUAACGCGUGAGCAACCUGCCUUUCAGAGGGGGAUAACGUUUGGAAACGAACGCUAAUACCGCAUAACAUAUGUUUGUGGCAUCGCAGACAUAUCAAAGAUUUAUCGCUGAGAGAUGGACUCGCGUCUGAUUAGGUAGUUGGUGAGGUAAAGGCCCACCAAGCCGACGAUCAGUAGCCGGACUGAGAGGUUGACCGGCCACAUUGGGACUGAGACACGGCCCAGACUCCUACGGGAGGCAGCAGUGGGGAAUAUUGCACAAUGGGCGCAAGCCUGAUGCAGCAACGCCGCGUGAGGGAAGACGGUCUUCGGAUUGUAAACCUUUGUCUUUGGUGAAGAAGGAAGUGACGGUAGCCAAGGAGGAAGCCACGGCUAACUACGUGCCAGCAGCCGCGGUAAUACGUAGGUGGCAAGCGUUGUCCGGAAUUACUGGGUGUAAAGGGAGCGCAGGCGGGAUCGUAAGUUGGGAGUGAAAUUCAUGGGCUCAACCCAUGACCUGCUUUCAAAACUGUGAUUCUUGAGUGGUGUAGAGGUAGGCGGAAUUCCCGGUGUACCGGUGAAAUGCGUAGAUAUUCGGAGGAACACCAGUGGCGAAGGCGGCCUACUGGGCUUUAACUGACGCUGAGGCUCGAAAGUGUGGGGAGCAAACAGGAUUAGAUACCCUGGUAGUCCACACUGUAAACGA